GGACGGAGGAUGCAAGUGUUAUCCGGAAUCACUGGGCGUAAAGCGUCUGUAGGUCGUUUAAAAAGUCUACUGUUAAAAAUUGAAGCUUAACUUCAAAGAUGCCGUAGAAACUUUUAAACUUGAGUAUGGUAGGGUAGAGGGAAUUUCCAGUGGAGGCGGUGAAAUGCGUAGAUAUUGGAAAGACCACCAAUGGCGAAGGCACUCUACUGGGCCAUUACUGACACUGAGAGACGAAAGCUAGGGGAGCAAAUGGG
rnacentral:rRNA from 1 species